GAUGAAGAACGUAGCGAAAUGCGAUACGUAGUGUGAAUUGCAGAAUUCAGUGAAUCAUCGAAUCUUUGAACGCACAUUGCGCCCUUUGGUAUUCCAAAGGGCAUGCCUGUUCGAGCGUCAUUUGUACCCUCAAGCUUUGCUUGGUGUUGGGCGUCUUGUCUCCAGUCCGCUGGAGACUCGCCUUAAAGUCAUUGGCAGCCGGCCUACUGGUUUCGGAGCGCAGCACAAGUCGCACUCUUUUCCAGCCAAGGUCAGUGUCCAACAAGCCUUUUUUCAACUUUUGACCUCGGAUCAGGUAGGGAUACCCGCUGAACUUAAGCAUAUAAUAAGCGGAGGA
rnacentral:misc_RNA from 1 species